rnacentral:rRNA from 1 species
UACGUAGGGUGCAGGCGUUAAUCGGAAUUACUGGGCGUAAAGCGUGCGCAGGCGGUUUCUUAAGUCAGAUGUGAAAGCCCCGGGCUUAACCUGGGAACUGCGUUUGAAACUGGGAGACUUGAGUGUGGCAGAGGGGGGUGGAAUUCCACGUGUAGCAGUGAAAUGCGUAGAUAUGUGGAGGAACACCGAUGGCGAAGGCGGCAUCCUGGACCAAUAUUGACGCUGAGGAGCGAAAGCCAGGGGAGCAAACGGG